rnacentral:rRNA from 1 species
GACGAACGUUGGCGGCGUGCUUAAUACAUGCAAGUCAACUGAAGCAGUGGUAGCAAUAUCGCUGUGGAGGUGGCGCACGGGGGAGGAACACGUAGGGAAUCUGCCUUCAGGUCUGGCAUAACACCGGGAAACCGGGGCUAAUAGCAGAGGAUGCAGCGGCGCGACAUCGAGACAGUUGGUAAAGCUAUGGCGCCUGAAGAUGAGCCUUCGUCUGUUUAGCUGGUUGGCGGGGUAACGGCCCACCAAGGCAACGAGCAGUAGCUGGUCUGAGAGGCUGAUCAGCCCUGCGGGACCGGAGACACGCUCCAGACUCCUACGGGAGGCAGCAGUAAGGAAUAUUGCUCAAUGGGAGAAAUCCUGAAGCAGCUACGCCGCGUGAGGGUCGCAGGGCUUUUGCUUGUAAACCUCUGUAGCGAGAGAAAAUAAUCCCAAACUCUGGGACAUGCUGGUAUCUCAAAAGUAAGCCCCGGCUACCUACGU